CACGUAGGGGGCGAGCGUUGUCCGGAUUUAUUGGGCGUAAAGAGCUCGUAGGCGGCUCAGUAAGUCAGGUGUGAAACCUCCAGGCUCAACCUGGAGACGCCACCUGAUACUGCUGUGGCUUGAGUCCGGUAGGGGAGUGUGGAAUUCCUGGUGUAGCGGUGAAAUGCGCAGAUAUCAGGAGGAACACCAGCGGCGAAGGCGGCGCUCUGGGCCGGUACUGACGCUGAGGAGCGAAAGCGUGGGUAGCAAACAGG
rnacentral:rRNA from 1 species